UUCAAAAGGGGGCGGAGCGAGCGGCAGAGCCAGGCAAGAGGGGAGGAAUGGAAGGCGGUUGGAACAGCCGUUGGAGGAGACCGGUAUACGGUUAUAACUGACAGGAGCGAAACCGACCAAUCAGGAAGCAGGAGCACCUCAAAUUACCUCAGGGGCGGGGACCCGGAAUAGCUCGGCUUGAGGGGCUCGAGAGAGCGACACCGGAAUUGCCCAUCGAGGGAGAGGCGUCGUGCCAAGCAGUUGAAAGAAGAUUGGGCUGCGAGAUGAGUGGGGAACCAAUGGGGGCCGGGAAAGGGUGGGACCUGAGCCUCUGGUUUCUGUGCGCGCGAGUCGACAGUUUGUUUUUAUGCCUUGCGAGGCCUGUAUGAGGGCAGAGACGAAAGGGAUGUGUAGCUUUCUGUCGUGCUACCUGCGUGUUUGGCAAAGAAAAUCCGUGAUUUUUUUUUUUUUGCUUCGAUCUCAACGGGCAACCGCUGUUCUCUCCGCGCUGGUGGACCGAAAGAGAUUUCUAAGGCCCGGUUCUGUGCUCGUUUACGUUGAAUGAAGGUGGAAGCUGACACUAAAAGACACUGGCAUAUUUUUCUUUGCAUAAAACUUGAACCAGGGCCUUUCCAGUUCAAGCUCACUGCGGCAACACGGUGUAUAAACUGUCAUAUAAAACGACAGGCCUGAAAAUCUUAAUUGGAACAAUAUAAUGAUGCACGGUUACGUUCUGAUGGCUACAACAAGCAAUGGCACACUUCAUGUUUUUCUAUGAAAAGCUCUGGAAGCCUCCAAAGAAGCAGGAGUACUCCUUGGGUCAGAAAGAAUGAUUAUGGGAUUAUGGGAGAAGGAGUGCCCAAGCGUAAGAUGUCCUCCUGUACUUCAAAUAAAAGGAAAUUUCAUGAUUCCCACCCUUUCUACCAAGGAACUAAGGAUGGUGUUCGUGUUUCCUUCCAUACACACACUUUAUCUGCACAGCAGCCUUCUGAGGUAUUUCGGCUAAGUGAGUGACUGGCCCAAAGUCACCUGGAGACUUGUUGGAGAGAAGCUGAACCUAGGUCUCAUCUGUCCUAUACCCAAUGGCUCUUACUGUGUUGAUUUUCAUUGUGGAUUAUAUGUUUUGAUUUUGUUUUAUGAAAAACAGCUUUCUGUGUCAUAAGGGCAGCAUAUGGUUUAAUCAAUUUUCACCAUGUUGAGAAGCACUGCGCUCCUGAAUCUGAGGUACUAGGAACCAACAAUAGGGGGUGGCCUCCUACAUGCCUGACUUGUGAGCCUGAAGACAUUUGGCUGACCACUGCUGGGAACAAUAGAUCAGAAGAACCCUGACUAGCCCACCGUUCUUUUAUUUUAAAGCGGACUUUUGUCCUUCGGGCUAAGCUAGGUAUUACAGUGACAGUUUCAUACAUUUUUUUUAUCCAUCAAGUAGGAAGAAGAAGGUGGAUCUGAUUUUAACAGCAAAUAGGGCCUCUGAAUGAGGUGUGCAGGAUCUUCCUUUUGCCAGUGGCUUAUUUUUCUAGACCAAAUAAUAGAAGUGAUCUUGUCUGGGCAAAAGGCAGCUGGGCAGAAAGGGCACUUGCUAGGAAGCGAGUGGUGUGAAAUUUGAGCUUUUUUCUCUUCCCUGGCGCAUGAACCAUUUGGUUGAGGAGAACCAGGGAGGGAAGCUGCAGAGACAUGAACUAUGGGUGUAUGCCAUGUUCAGUGUUUAAACACAUGAUACACAUCAGCUGUUUAAUAAACACAUGAAACUGCCACUGUUGUGUAUAGCCUUGUUCUUUAAUGGAUGGAUCUAUACAUAGAUGGCAUUUGCAGAUUUGUAGGCAGAGUAAGUCUGAAACUGUUGAGGCGUGUUCAUAAAGGGCCAGUGUGCUGGGCAGCCCAACAUGCCCCAGUUCAUCCAUGGCUCAGGAGUGUUUGCUUGGUAUCUUAUGAGUGCCCAGAGAGGAGUUUUCAGAUGCCUUUAUCUAUACUAUAAUGUGUCCCUAGUUCCCAACUUCCCACUUGUAACAGACCCACUUACUUUCUCGCUGUGUGUAUCAAGUUCUCUUGUGUACUUAAAAUGUACUUAUAUAGCUGGUGGCAGAAUAUCCGCUGAGAACUAAAAUAUUUGAACCCAUAUACAUUUAUGGCUGAAGUGUGCAUAUAUUGGUUGCUGAUAAAGAGAUAAAUGUAUGAUUUCUAGGUGGAAGUGUAAAGAAUGUUGCAAAGGAAAAUGUUCCAAAAUUGUGGUCUAGUCAGCCUCCAAAUUCUCACUGCCUGAAACUGGCUUAUAUUUUUGCUAUUUAUUUCCUAUCCCACUAUGAAAAGAUGCAUUUUCUUAUAACUACUCAUUAUUACCAAAUUAUAUAUGAUAAAUAUUAUAAGGAGGAUACAAUAUCUUUCUUGAGCUGUACUUUUAAAAUCCCUUCUAAGGCAUCUGAAUUCUCCAUGGAUUCGUAUGCAUCUACAGAGAGGAUGGCCUGCCCUCGGCCAAAAUAACAAUGCUUCACCUCUCUUCACCCUUCAUACCUUCAGCUCUGAGCUGCUGUGCCAUUAGCUGCCUCCACUAUUUAAUAUUGUUUCACCCAGUGUUGUCUCUUGCUCAGUUUGAGGCUAAUAAAUGGGGAUUCACAAGAGUAUGUUACUAAACAAGAAUGUGCAAGUCUUCACUGAACUCUCAAAUUAAAUUAACAGAAGGCAUUCAGUGGAUGAUAAAUUGCAGUGACUGUGUGCAUGCUGCUCCCUUCCAUUUCUGCCAGGACUCAGAAGAGAUCCAAAGGCAGUUUCUUCUUAAUGUGCUGUUCCUGUGAUUUGUUUGACGAAUAGUUAUGCUUCCCUGUAAGAUGUUUAAGUCUCCUCAUCUGACUUGUGUUUUACUGUUAUGCGUAGAAUAAACAAAAGCUUUAAAAACAGUAAUAUCUGCUUUUGCAGGUAAAUCUGACAGAGCAGGUUUAUUAAUUCGCCUCUAUCCAACACAUUUUUGUUAAUAAGUUUCACUUAUUAUUUCCUAGAAAAAUUUACCUUGAAUUAAAACAUACA